rnacentral:rRNA from 1 species
AGUUAAAAACUUUCAACAACGGAUCUCUUGGUUCUGGCAUCGAUGAAGAACGCAGCGAAAUGCGAUACGUAAUGUGAAUUGCAGAAUUUAGUGAAUCAUCGAAUCUUUGAACGCACAUUGCGCCCGCCAGUAUUCUGGCGGGCAUGCCUGUUCGAGCGUCAUUUCAACCCUUAAGC